CAUUAGAUGGCUGAACCUUAAGCACUGGUCUCUUAAACCAACAAAUAGUAAUACAAUUACUUCUAAUG
rnacentral:tRNA from 1 species